ensembl:misc_RNA Metazoa_SRP Metazoan signal recognition particle RNA
GCCGGGUGUGGUUGUGCACACCUGUAAUCUCAGCUACUUGGGAGGCUGAGGCAGGAGAAUUGCUUGAACCUGAGAGGCAGAGGUUGCAGUGAGCUGAGAUCGCACCACUGCACUCCGGCCUGGGUAACAGAGCAAGACCCUGUCUCAA